rnacentral:rRNA from 1 species
AUUGAACGCUGGCGGCAUGCCUUACACAUGCAAGUCGAACGGUAACAGAUCUUCGGAUGCUGACGAGUGGCGAACGGGUGAGUAAUACAUCGGAACGUGCCUAGUAGUGGGGGAUAACUACUCGAAAGAGUGGCUAAUACCGCAUGAGAUCUACGGAUGAAAGCAGGGGAUCGCAAGACCUUGUGCUACUAGAGCGGCCGAUGGCAGAUUAGGUAGUUGGUGGGAUAAAAGCUUACCAAGGCGACGAUCUGUAGCUGGUCUGAGAGGACGAUCAGCCACGCUAGUACUGAAAAAGGGCCCAGACUCCUACCGGAGGCAGUAGAGGUGAAUUUUGGACAAUGGGAGCAAGCCAGAUUCACCAAUACCGCGUGCAGGAUGAAGGCCAUCGGGUUGUAAACUGCGUUUUUACGGACCGAAAAGCCACGGGUUAAUACCCUGGGGUCAUGACGGUACCGUAAGAAUAAGCACCAGCUAACUACGUGCCAGCCGCCGCGGUAA